CGCUCUACUGGAAACUAUCCUAUAUCAGAAGGUCUCGUAAUCAACUGGAUUUUUUUUUUACUUGAUCAAUCGGAAGGCGGAGGUAAACUCCCCAACUCGAUCAAUGGGUGCUCAUUGGUCUUCUUGAAACUCCCCAACUGCCGUAGCUGCUGAUUAUGCGACAGCUGAUAUUGCGAUAACCGAUUCUUUCUAACUAAAGAUUCUUCCACUUCACUUUCUAAGAGGGCAUUCGAUGCAUCAAUCCCCUCCCGCCUUGACUAUUGGGUUGGAUACCCUAUUAAGUCAUGGCAUCUGUCAGUUCCUUGUCUUCAUCCCAUCGAGAAAGACUAAUGCAAAAGGUGAAUUGAAUUCCGGAUCUUUCUUCGUGCACGAAAUCGAGAAAAGUGCUUUCUUUCACAACCUACUGUAACUGAAGCCCGGUGUGCCGCUGGACUCAUGUAGGACGAGAAAUCUGAGGUAGAUAAGGCUUAUGCAAUAGUCUUGCUUACUCUGCUGAACC
rnacentral:lncRNA from 1 species